GUCUGUAGCUCAGUGGUAGAGCACCUGCCUUGCAUAUGUGAGGCCCUGGGUUUGAUCCUCAGCACCACA
rnacentral:tRNA from 1 species